rnacentral:rRNA from 1 species
UGCGAACUCCUACGGGAGGCAGCAGUGGGGAAUUUUGGACAAUGGGGGCAACCCUGAUCCAGCAAUGCCGCGUGAGUGAAGAAGGCCUUCGGGUUGUAAAGCUCUUUUGUCAGGGAAGAAACGGUAGUAGCUAAUAUCUAUUACUAAUGACGGUACAUGUAGAAUAAGCACCGGCUCACUGCGUGCCAGCAGCCGCGGUAAUACGUAGGGUGCAAGCGUUAAUCGGAAUUACGGGGCGUAAAGCGUGCGCAGGCGGUUGUGUAAGUCAGAUGUGAAAUCCCCGGGCUCAACCUGGGAAUUGCAUUUGAGACUGCACGACUAGAGUGUGUCAGAGGGGGGUAGAAUUCCACGUGUAGCAGUGAAGUGCGUAGAUAUGGGGAGGAAUACCGAUGGCGAAGGCAGCCCCCUGGGAUAAAACUGACGCUAAUGCACAAAAGCGUGGGGAGCAAACAGGAUUAGAAACCCGGGUAGUCCAGAUG